UACGUAGGGUGCGAGCGUUAAUCGGAAUUACUGGGCGUAAAGCGUGCGCAGGCGGUUUUGUAAGCCAGAUGUGAAAGCCCCGGGCUUAACCUGGGAAUGGCAUUUGGGACUACAAGGCUUGAGUGCGGCAGAGGAGACUGGAAUUCCUGGUGUAGCAGUGAAAUGCGUAGAUAUCAGGAGGAAUACCGAUGGCGAAGGCGGGUCUCUGGGCCGAUACUGACGCUGAGACGCGAAAGCGUGGGGAGCAAACAGG
rnacentral:rRNA from 1 species